UUUGAAGAGCAGUGGAAACGAAUUGGAUUAAAUCCUUUAACCCCACAUGCAUUAGAUCUCAUCUAAUCCUAUCCGAGCCCAGGAAUAAAGAUAUGCAUAUGAUCCAAAAAUUAAAAUAAAAAAGAGAUCAAAUCUCAAUACCUUUGCAUGGGUGAAAUACAUCACUACUGCUGAUUUUAGAUCCGAAGGUCCUAGAGCCGCACACGUAUUCGACUUCUAUAGAUAUCACCGAGAUCAAUUUUGAAUCCUUC
rnacentral:lncRNA from 1 species